UUUACUUUAGUGUAAAGAGCACAUAAAUUUUUGGUGUUUAAGGUUAAAAAGUAGACC
rnacentral:tRNA from 1 species